rnacentral:rRNA from 1 species
UACGUAGGGGCCUAGCGUUAGUUCGGAUUCAUUGGCGUAAAGGGUGCGUAGGUGGCGGGGUUAAGUCAGGUGUGAAAUUUACGGACGCUUAACUCCGAAACUGCAUUUGAUACUGCCAUUGCUUGAGGACUGGAGAGGAGGACUGGAAUUCACGGUGUAGCAGUGAAAUGCGUAGAGAUCGUGAGGAAGACCAGUGGCGAAGGCGGGUCUCUCGGACGAGUUCCUUGACACUGAGGCACGAAAGGCCAGGGGAGGCAAAACGGG